rnacentral:lncRNA from 1 species
UUCGCUUAAUAUUUAAUAUUCUUCGCUUUCCACCUCUACCAAUUCCCAUUCCCAUUCCCAUCGAUUUAAAACCACCAGCAGCAGCAUUGCUCAAAUCACCCUCCGCCUACACAAACACACACACACACACACACACACACACACAGAGGACCAAUCUCAAUGGCGGCGAGUACAGAGGGAGUGAUCAGCAACAAACAGGUGAUACUGAAAGACUAUGUGACCGGCUUCCCCAAAGAAUCUGACAUGCAACUCACCACCGCCACCACCAAGCUCAGGCUUCCAGAAGGUUCCAAAGGGGUUCUGGUGAAGAACCUCUACUUGUCCUGCGACCCUUAUAUGAGAAGCCGCAUGACCAAGCGUGAACCUGGCGCCAGUUAUGUUGAUUCCUUCGACGCCGGUUCGGUCAGUCACUGUAUAUAUUAUCUUACAUCUCUCUCUAAUUAUUUUAUUAUUUUUAGUGUAAUUUCUUCGUUUUAACUCAAUUUUGUUUAGUCUACAAAUUUAGUCUAUCUAGUCUCUGCCUGCCUUUUUAAUAUUUUGUUUCAAAUCAAAGUUGAAUACUUUUAUAUCUCUAGGUUAGGAUAGUUGGUAACGCGGUGUGCCCUUCCACUUUUAUUCAAUUUCAAAAUUAGGGGCUCCGUAAUUUAGGGUUGUUCAAUUGGGAUCAGAGGGAUUUUAAUGGAUUUAUAAAUUCAUGAAUUUUGAUGAAGUUUAAUUGAUUUAUAAAGAUUUUAAGUACAAUUUUGAGUGAAUUCUCUCGAAUGCUCAGGGAUAUCUGUGAAAUUUGAGCAUGUUUAAAUUACACUUAGAAAUCUCUCUAAUUCUCUCCAAUUCCGCAACUUUUUAAAAUCUUUUAAAAUCAAUUUCUAAUGAAAUACACCCAGAAUGUUAUAACAUCCUUUAUAAUUUGAUUAAAUACAUCUAGAUUUCAGAGACUCACUUAAAAUCACGAUUGAAUACCAUAAUUCGAAUACCGUAUUGUAAAAUAUAUAAAUAAAAUUGAAUCCUUGAGGCAUUUCUCAUGUAGUACAAACGGAACUGAUGAAGAACCCAAUUAUUAAUCUUGUUUUGUAGAUAGCCUUUUUGUUCGGAUGGUGUAAUCCAAAUUUAUCUUGUUUGUGGUUUUGGGGCUGUUUUAAUGAUUUAUAUAGUUUGAGACAACUUGUAAUUCGCGGUUUUUGAUGAUACAAUGCUAUACUUAUAUCAGUUAUAUCUUAUCAAUACUGAGACAUAGCUUCCUUAUUAAUUGGCAUUCUAUCCAACGAAAAAGCUUUGUUUAUGCUAUGUACAGAUCAUAAAAAGGAUAGCAUCUAUUCGAUGUUGUAGUUUUAUUUGACGUGUUUGAUUAUUGAAAUGCUGGUGUGGCAGCCUAUAGUCGGAUAUGGAGUCGCCAAAGUUUUGGAAUCCGGGGAUCCCAAGUUUAAGAAAGGCGAAUUGAUUUGGGGAAUGACCGGGUGGGAGGAAUACAGCGUCAUCACUUCAACAGAGUCUUUGUUUAAGAUUCAGCACACUGAUGUGCCUCUCUCUUACUAUACUGGAAUUCUUGGUAUGUUGUUAUAUAUUGGUUAUUGCUAUUUUCCUUGCCUUUGGAUUUAUUUUUUAAAAUUUUGUUAUGCCACAAGCAGCUAUCUCAAAGUCUUGUAUCUUUUAUGAUGGUACUUGAAUAUAGCGAGCUAAGGAACCUGAACUUCACAAGGGCCUAACCCGUUGGAUGAAAUUCGUGAAUCAUUUUUGUAUGUCAUGGAUUGUAUUGAAUUCUUGUUGCAUGUUUGAGUACCCUAGUUUCAUUGGACUAUUCUCAUGCUAACUUCAGGAGCGAAUAGAUUGUGUCAUAAUAAUCUUUUUAUUAAAAGUAGCAUUUCCUCAUGGAAGGAUUCUGUAUGGUUGUAUAUAUCCCUAGUUGUGAUCUGCCUCCACUCCAGUGACAUCUAUUAUACUACUUGAAGUGAACUGAUUUGUUAAUUCUCAAAUCUCUUUGUAAACUAGAUCUUUACAACAGAUGUCCCAUAUUCUUUUCAUAAUUAGUAAUUUGAUUUGGAAGUACGGAAAUUAUUUAGCAUAACGUAAUUCUAGUUCAAUUGGUCAUAUGGAUCUGUAGCAUUGUUCUCAUGUUGAAUGCAAUUGUUGAAGCGAUCCAUCCUAAUUAAUUCAUCCAAAUAUUCAGUUAUAUGGCUUUGUAAUGCAUGAUAUAUUUACUGGAUGCUCAAUGCUCAUCAAUGUAUCCAUUUUAUGUAGGUAUGCCUGGAAUGACUGCUUAUGCUGGGUUUUAUGAGAUCUGCAAUCCCAAGAAGGGAGAGACGGUCUUCGUUUCAGCAGCAUCUGGAGCAGUAGGUCAGCUUGUUGGCCAAUUUGCAAAGUUGUUGGGUUGCUAUGUUGUUGGAAGUGCUGGAAGCAAAGAAAAGGUGAGUUAUGGUCGAUUCCAACUCUAUCUUAGUUGGCAUUUCUGUGAUUGCAACUCCAUUGGAUGAUUAUCCUUGUUUUAGAAACACGAGUUAGUGAUGUGUGCCAAAUUUGUGACUGGAAACGUUUUGACUAAUAGAAAACAGGAAAAUAAGAGAGAACAUGUUGGAAAGUAAAGAUAUUGCUGACCCUUUAUCUUCAUAAUCAAGUUAGUAAAUUCAGCUUUAACCUGCUGUCUCAUCUUGUUGGCAAAAUGUUCAUAUCAUAUGAAAUCGUAAGCAUAUGCAACUUAGAAAAUCGCACAGAAUGUGCAUCUAUGAGCUUUCCUGUUCUCAUUCUACAAUUUACGUAUUACAAAUGACUAUUUUAUACCCAUUCUUGGCAUAUUUUAAUAAUAUCGUAUCAUUUCUGAGUUUAGGUUGAUCUGCUGAAGAACAAGUUUGGGUUUGACAACGCUUUCAAUUAUAAAGAAGAACCUGAUUUGGAUGCAGCUUUGAAAAGGUCAGUUGAUCAGAAUCAAACUAUUAUUUUAUAGCUUUGACUAUCAAACUAUUAUUUUAAAGCUUUAACUUAUGUCUUAAUUACAAGGGGAAAGUCCAAUAAAAGGCAUUAGCAAUCUCUAACAUCAUCAAGAUUUAGUGAUUUAGCCGCCAAUCCUAAAACAGUGAGAGUAAGUUGAAAUGCGCAACAGUGUGAGCAUGUGGCUGUUGACGAAAAACUCAUGUCUUUGUCCUCUUUGUAGAUAUGUUCCAUGGUUUUCAGUGUUUGCUUAGUCUAAAAUUGUGAUUUUCUCACCAGGUACUUUCCUGAAGGCAUUGACAUAUACUUUGAAAACGUUGGGGGGGAAAUGCUUGAUGCAGUGCUACAAAACAUGAGGGUCCAUGGCCGGAUUGCAGUUUGUGGGUUGAUAUCGCAGUACAACAUUGACGAGCCUGAAGGUUGUCGCAAUUUAAUAUAUCUGAUCAGUAAACAGGUUCGCAUGCAAGGUUUCCUGGUUUUUAGUUACUACCAUCUUUACGAGAAGUUUCUUGAAAUGGUUCUGCCGGCAAUAAAAGAAGGGAAGAUAACGUAUGUGGAAGACGUAGUGGAAGGACUUGAGAGCGCUCCAGCCGCUCUGAUAGGGCUCUAUGCCGGCCGCAAUGUAGGAAAGCAGGUGGUUGUGGUUUCCCGUGAAUGAUUUCAUCAGGCUCUCCAUGCCUCCGAAGUAUCACCCUUUAGCUAUAUGGUGUAAUCGUCUAGUGUGAAAUGCAAAUGCUUUGACAUUUACAAGUUCAUAUUCUACAGGUUUAGGGCAAGCAUAUUAUCUCGACGAGAACUGUGCUUGAUCUCUUACCUUAAGCUAUAAAUAAAUGUCUUUCGACUUCCUUAAUGAUAUCAAGCACUAAGUUUAGUAGAUCUUUCAAUUGUGUAAGAGGUUUUAUUUAUUUAUUGAAUAAAUGAUAUUAUCUACAUUAAGAGGAAGGGACAGCUUCACAAUGGGUUAGUAAUAAUGUGGUUCAAAUUUGCUUUUGUCAAGAAUUGAACCUAAGACAUCUCACUUAUAAAUGAAGAAGAAUAAUACUAGAUCUUACUAGUCCUAAGUGGUAUGUCAAACGAAUGUUGACUUUUCUUUUUACUUUUUGGCUAACGGACCCUCCUUGUCAAAAUAUUGAAUAAGCAAACAAGUUGGAAAGUACAAGUCUCGGCUUUCAGAUUUGGAUCCUUCGCUGUGCCUCCUACGCAAAGCACACAAGCCGUUGGAUCAAAAUUCAACGGUUACAAUUAUUAUAACUUUUAGAAGAUCCUUUUGUUUGUAUCCGUUGGAUUAAAAUCCAACAGUUCGUGUGCUUUGCUCAAAAGGCUUAACCUACCAAGCUCAGGAGAGGAUCCAACGGCCAGUAUCAUGACUUCGGUGACUAGCAGAUGUGUAUCCUUAGAGGGAGGGUGAAAAAUAAUUUUGCAUUCGUGUAAGUUGGAAAAGAUUCAAUUGCCUUAUAUGGAAAAAAGUUCUAUGACCAAUUUGCAAAAACUUCCAACAUACGUUCAUGAAAAAAAAUGCACAAUUUGCAUCUCUAAAUAAUAUACAAAGUACGAUGCAAAUGUUAUUUCUAAACUUUCUAAGCAAUUUUGUUAUUUUAAUUAGGAUCCUUAUUUUAUAUUACUGUUUUCAAUGAUUAUUUUGAACAACAAUAUACAAACCACGAUGUCUAUCUUAAAGGAUUCUUGAACGUACUUAGGUAAAUUGCUUACAACCUUUAUAUUUGGAAUUGUGCAUUAUAGUUAAACUUCUUAUUUUAUCAUCAUUACUUGUAGAUUAACCAUGAAAAUCUAAAGCAUCAAGUGCAAGCAAAUGGGUGGCAAGUAUGGCUUUGAUUUCACACGUAGACACUAUGUUUACAUAUGUACAUGUUGUCCAUAUGUUGCUUGCUUCAUAUAUUAGGAGUUCAUCCCUAGUUAGCCUAUAACUUUGGCUGAAAACUUAUGAAUCUGAAAAUUUUGAUUUAAGGACUUGGGUAGAUAUUUGACAUUUUGCAUGAGAGAGAAAGGAAGAAAGAUUUAUUAUGUUCUCCAUUUUGUGUUUUUCCAGUCUUGAAUUCUAGGAAAGUAAGAUUAGGGAUUGAGGCCCAGCAAAUUAAGCUUUAGAAGAAGUACGAGGCCAAGGUCCCCUACUCCUGUCAUCAAAAGCUUCAUUUUACAGCACCCUUUAUGCAUUGAUGUUCACGUUCUAAAAAAAAUGACACCAGCAAACCAAAAAAAAACGCGGAGAGGCUAGUAAAAAUAAUAAGGCAAGUGGAUGUUUUUAGAAAUUGCAAAAAAUUAUAUUCGAAGGUAGUUUCAAAUUUCACAUAUUUUUGUCUGUGUCAGCUUAAUUUUGUUUUUUUCAUGUCAAUUUUGACAUUUCGGUUGGAGUAAAUGAUAAGUCGUUUAUUAUCGUUAUAUAUCUAUGGGAGAUUUUUUAUUUUCCACCGCUUGCAAUUCCCAUUCCCAUUGCUUUGCAAUCAUCAGCAGUAGCAUUGCUUAUAUCGUCUUACGCCUACAGAGAGAGAAUCAAUCUCAAUGGCGGCAAGUACAGAGGAAGUGAUCAGCAACAAACAGGUGGUACUGACUCUACCGAGAGACCAUGUGACUAGCUUCCCCAAAGAAUCUGACAUGCAACUCACCACCACCACCACCAAGCUCAAGCUUCCAGAAGGUUCCAAAGGGGUUUCGGUGAAGAACCUAUACUUGUACUGCGACCCUUGUAUGAGAGGCUGCAUGAC